UACGUAGGGGGCAAGCGUUGUCCGGAUUCAUUGGGCGUAAAGAGCGUGUAGGCGGCCAGGUAGGUCAGCUGUGAAAACUUGAGGCUCAACCUCGAGACGUCGGUUGAAACCACCUGGCUAGAGUCCGGAAGAGGAGAGUGGAAUUCCUGGUGUAGCGGUGAAAUGCGCAGAUAUCAGGAAGAACACCCGUGGCGAAGGCGGGACUCUGGGCCGAUACUGACGCUGAGGAGCGAAAGCGUGGGGAGCAAACAGG
rnacentral:rRNA from 1 species